rnacentral:rRNA from 1 species
CUACGGGGGGCUGCAGUAACGAAUAUUGGACAAUGGGCGAAAGCCUGAUCCAGCGACGCCGCGUGUAGGAAGAAGUCCCUCGGGAUGUAAACUACUGUCAGGGACCACCAAGCAAUCGAGGUUAAUACCCUUGUGCGUUGAGGAAUCCCAGAGGAAGUCACGGCUAACUUCGUGCCAGCAGCCGCGGUAAGACGAAGGUGGCGAGCGUUGUUCGGAAUCACUGGGCUUAAAGAGCACGUAGGCGGACUGUCAAGCGUCUUGUGAAAGCCCUCGGCUCAACCGAGGAACGGCGGGGCGAACUGGCAGUCGUGAGGCAGGUAGGGGCAACUGGAACUCAUGGUGGAGCGGUGGAAUGCGUAGAUAUCAUGAGGAACGCCAGCGGCGAAGGCGAGUUGCUGGGCCUGUCCUGACGCUGAGGUGCGAAAGCUAGGGUAGCGAACGGGAUUAGAUACCCGGGUAGUC